AGAGUUUGAUCCUGGCUCAGAAUCAACGCUGGCGGCGCGCUUAACACAUGCAAGUCGCACGAGAAAGUGGAGCAAUCCAUGAGUAAAGUGGCGUACGGGUGAGUAACACGUGGAUCAUCUACCUCUUAGUGGGGAAUAACCCGGGGAAACCUGGGCUAAUACCGCAUAAGCCUGCGAAGGGAAAGCAGCAAUGCGCUGAGAGAGGAGUCCGCGGCCGAUUAGCUAGUUGGUAGGGUAAUGGCCUACCAAGGCAAUGAUCGGUAGCCGGCCUGAGAGGGCACACGGCCACACUGGCACUGAAACACGGGCCAGACUCCUACGGGAGGCAGCAGUGGGGAAUCUUGCACAAUGGAGGAAACUCUGAUGCAGCGACGCCGCGUGAGCGAUGAAGCCCUUCGGGGUGUAAAGCUCUUUCGACGGGAACGAUAAUGACGGUACCCGGAGAAGAAGCUGCGGCUAACUACGUGCCAGCAGCCGCGGUAAUACGUAGGCAGCAAGCGUUGUUCGGAAUUACUGGGCGUAAAGAGUGUGUAGGCGGUUCUCUAUGUUCGGUGUGAAAUCUCCCGGCUUAACUGGGAGGGUGCGCCGAAAACUGGAGGGCUUGAGUAUGGGAGAGGAAAGCGGAAUUCCUGGUGUAGCGGUGAAAUGCGUAGAUAUCAGGAGGAACACCUGCGGUGUAGACGGCUUUCUGGACCAUCACUGACGCUGAGACACGAAAGCGUGGGUAGCAAACAGGAUUAGAUACCCUGGUAGUCCACGCCCUAAACGAUGCAUACUUGGUGUGAGCCGUUCAUUCGGUUCGUGCCGGAGCUAACGCGUUAAGUAUGCCGCCUGGGGAGUACGGUCGCAAGGCUAAAACUCAAAGGAAUUGACGG
rnacentral:rRNA from 1 species